rnacentral:rRNA from 1 species
UACGGAGGAUGCGAGCGUUAUCCGGAUUUAUUGGGUUUAAAGGGUGCGUAGGCGGCUUUUUAAGUCAGCGGUGAAAUUUUGCAGCUUAACUGUGACAGUGCCGUUGAUACUGGGGAGCUAGGAUUUGGUUGCUGUGGGUGGAAUGUGUGGUGUAGCGGUGAAAUGCUUAGAGAUCACACAGAAUAUCGAUUGCGAAGGCAGCUCACAAAGCCAAGAUUGACGCUGAGGCACGAAAGUGUGGGGAUCAAACAGGA